rnacentral:rRNA from 1 species
UACGAAGGGGGCUAGCGUUGCUCGGAAUCGACUGGGCGUAAAGGGUGCGUAGGCGGGUCUUUUAAGUCAGGGGUGAAAUCCUGGAGCUCAACUCUAGAACUGCCUUUGAUACUGAGGAUCUUGAGUUCGGGAGAGGUGAGUGGAACUGCGAGUGUAAGAGGUGAAAUUCGUAGAUAUUCGCAAGAACACCAGUGGCGAAGGCGGCUCACUGGCCCGAUACUGACGCUGAGGCACGAAAGCGUGGGGAGCAAACAGG